UGUGGUUUAAUUCGAAGCAACGCGAAGAACCUUACCAGGUCUUGACAUCGAUCUAAAAGGGAUGGAGACAUCCUCAUAGCUAUAGAGAAGACAGGUGGUGCAGGUUGUCGUCAGCUCGUGUCGUGAGAUGUUGGGUUAAGUCCCGCAACGAGCGCAACCCCUGUCGCCAGUUACCAUCAUUAAGUUGGGGACUCUGGCGAGACUGCCUCUGCAAGGAGGA
rnacentral:rRNA from 1 species